GCAAGGGCCAGAGAAGGGCCCUUUUUUUUUUUCAUCUGUCUGCUGCAGAGUUCAUUUAAGGUGUUUUAGUCUAGAUUCUUAAAGCAACAAUGUCCUAGAUUUUUUGCCUCUGUUUUUUCAGCACAUCGGUUAACAUUUAUAAAAUAGAAAAUGAACAGUAACUGAAUGUAGCAAAAGGCCUUUAGGUGAAGUGAGGGGAAAACAUACUGUUAAUUGUGUUCUCUGAACUUUUCUUUUAACAGUCUUCUUUCAGGGAAGCCCCCAAAGUGGAGAACUAGAUUGCUCAUAUAGUAUAUUUUGGGGAGAAAUGAUGAAAACAUCCCAAACCACGGCAACGGCCCAUGCACUCUCCCAUACAAAAAGCCUUCCUGGUAGCUUCUCUUGCUCCUGUUAACUACACCCAAGGCCCUUUCUCUUCCUCCUUUGGAAUAAAGGGCUCAUUCUGUUAAGGGGACUGGAGCCAGGGAAGGAAUCCUUGCCUUACGGAUCUGAUCUGUUCCCAGACCGGGUGGGUCUCCUUCAGGUUCGGCCACGCAGGAGCACCAGAGCAUCCGUCUUUUCACUCCGAGGUCUCAGGGAAGCCUGCAGCCAGGAUGUUCUGGCCACACCACUGGAACAAGACCUUCUAUGGAUAUCUCUGAGCAAUUGCUCACAAUAUUGAGAAGUGAGAGAAAUGGAUGAGUUGUAUAUGCCCUUCCUAGAUACUUCCUUCUGUCCUCUGAUAAGAAGAAGAUGAAAAGAAUUGAUUGAGCCUGAGAUGCCAGCCACAGGCACUCACAUCCUGGCUUCUCUUUGCUAUCAAAAGUGGCGUGGCGUGAAGGAUGACUUCUUUUGAAGAAAUGUCUUCUCUUUCACUGACCACUCAGCUCUGGUGGGAAAGGAUAUCUACCCAGGGAGUCACAGCAGGUUAACGACUGUCUCCACCCUGUGUUCCUUGGCUGGCCCCCUUCUCAUCAUCGACCUUUGGGAAUAUUGCUAAACAGGUUUUUCCUCUGCUAUUUCUCUUAUCCUCUCAGAAAUUUCCUCAUUUCAAAGAAAACUGAACUUGAUGUCUGAAGAAGUGGAGAGUUAAUUUCUCUUUUCUUCCACUUACUGUGGGUGUAGUAUGUAUGACUUGGUCUCAUUGAGCUGCUUUUUCCUCAUCUAUAAAUUGGGACAAUCUCAAGAACCUUACAGGAUUGUUGAGGGUAAGAGGUGUGAAUGCUGUUUGUGAACUGUAAGGGCUGCUCCAAUGCCAGGUACUAGACCUGGCAGUUAACGGAGCAAAAUUAUUAUUCAGAGUCAUCAAACCAGGAAGUCUUUGUUUUUAGGGGCUUUAUGACAUCAUCUUGGCUGGUGCCUUGAUUCUGUGCUUCCUGACUCUCCCUGACUCUGACACAAAAUUUUCAGGUGGGACGCUGGAGUGCACUGAGAUGCCCAAUAACCUGAAUCUCUUACCCUUUCUGAUGGAGUCCCAAUCACUUACACAAUGUCAAUGCCCCUGCACAUUUAAGGCUGAAGAUGGAGGCAAGAAUGAGACUCUCUGGGCAGGGUUCAUAAGUUUACUCCUUUGCUCCAACAGCAUCUUAAACCCACUUUUAUUAUAAUAUUUAUUACCAUGACUUAUAAUUGUUUACCUGUUUGUCUCUCCCACUGGACAAUGAACUCUAAGGGAAUAUGGAUUAUUUGCUUGUAAUGUCCAGAACACAGUACAGUGUCCAGUGCAGAGUAAAUGUCCAAUACUAAAUGAAGCAUUACUGCUGGAAUUUUCUCUCUUCCUUCCUCACUCAUCACCCAUGAGCACCCCCCCAGCACUGGCAAUCUGGCCAUGCCUUGUAUUCUGACUGAACUCCAACCCCUGUUGUUCCCAGAAAUCUGAUUAUCCUCUAAACUUUAAUCACAACCUUUCACCUGACACUGCCCACGUGGAGUACACGGCCCCAGGGUUGAGUUCCAUUAGCCUGUAUGAUCUGCUAUUUGCAUGUUUUUAUGGAAACUGAUGGAAGUGCUACAUAUGUGCAAAAAGGAGAGAAAAGGAAAAAUAGAGGGAAAAAAAAAACAGGCUCAGAGAACAGGGGAGAGCUGUAGAGGGAAUGUUUUGGCAUUUGCUUGGCUAUAAGAAGGCUACGUGAAAUCUAUGAAAA